UACGUAGGGCGCAAGCGUUGUCCGGAAUUAUUGGGCGUAAAGAGCUCGUAGGCGGUUUGUCGCGUCUGCUGUGAAAACUCGGGGCUUAACCCCGGGCCUGCAGUGGGUACGGGCAGACUAGAGUGCGGUAGGGGAGACUGGAAUUCCUGGUGUAGCGGUGAAAUGCGCAGAUAUCAGGAGGAACACCAAUAGCGAAGGCAGCUCGCUGGGACGUUACUGACACUGAGGCGCGAAAGCGUGGGGAGCGAACAGG
rnacentral:rRNA from 1 species